UCAUCAAUGGCAUCUUCGAAAGCACCCACUCUCUCAAUACUAAGCAGUGUAGCUUGCAAAAUGUCCAAGAAGAAACCACGUUAAGCGUGCUAAAGUUCUUGUCUGAAUACAAGAGAUCAUCACUUUUCAGUGUCGCCGGCGAGGAGAAUUUUCAAAAAACAGGAUCAACAUUUAAAGAGAGUACUAGCAUUUUGAUUGAGAAGGGAAAAACCCAUUGUGAAAGGAGUUCCGCAGCCGUUGGCAUGCACACUAAGAUUGAUGAGAAGCUCAAGAAAGGAAGUAUCGUGAUCAAAGACAUACUCCCUGAAAGCAAUAACGACUUUGCUCCAUCAGCUACAACUAGCAAACGUCAACCUGCACAAGCGAGUAACAAAUUUACAUCGCUAGAGCUUAUAAUUGGAAGCAGAUUGUCUACAGUUGAGAAGAACUUACACGACGCAACAGGUUAUCAUGCUGCAACACCAGAGUGUGUGAUAACAAAAUUGUAGAGCCUAAUGACAGAUCGGCACCUCGAUUGCCUAUAGCAAAGAAAGUUAAGGCGAGGGUGUGUAACCGUAUGCAUCAUGAGCAAGAGUUGUCCCUGUUGAACACCUACCCAGCAGGGUCAAAAGAUCGAAGCUCUUUUUUUCAGUACAGUGUUCAACAUACUGAGGGUACUUUUGUUUCCCCCCCUGGCCGCACGGGUGCAAAAGAUGUUAUUGGGUCUCAGUUAGUUUCUUUAAAAGCAAAACAGAGCAGCUAUUUGAUGGUAAACAAGAUGUCUCCAUUGACUCGCACCAAUCUGUCUAACGAGUUCAAU